rnacentral:rRNA from 1 species
UGGGGAAUAUUGGACAAUGGGCGCAAGCCUGAUCCAGCCAUGCCGCGUGAGUGAUGAAGGCCCUAGGGUUGUAAAGCUCUUUCACCGGUGAAGAUAAUGACGGUAACCGGAGAAGAAGCCCCGGCUAACUUCGUGCCAGCAGCCGCGGUAAUACGAAGGGGGCUAGCGUUGUUCGGAUUUACUGGGCGUAAAGCGCACGUAGGCGGACUAUUAAGUCAGGGGUGAAAUCCCGGGGCUCAACCCCGGAACUGCCUUUGAUACUGGUAGUCUUGAGUUCGAGAGAGGUGAGUGGAAUUCCGAGUGUAGAGGUGAAAUUCGUAGAUAUUCGGAGGAAAACCAGUGGCGAAGGCGGCUCACUGGCUGGAUACUGACGCUGAGGUGCGAAAGCGUGGGGAGCAAACAGG